GGUGCUCUGGGAGAAGCUGAGGGAAAUCCUUUCCCACACCUAGUCCUUUCACUUGGGAGAUAAUUUUGUUUGAUUCUAAAGAGUACUAUGACUUCAGGGCCCAAAGAGGACAGCUCAUUGGAAAUAGUUCAGAGGAGAUCCCAACACAAACUCAUCAUUCAUAAUGGAGAAGCAUCCACUGCACACGCCUACUACUACCAGACUAGUUUUUUCAUCUCUGAAAAAAGGGAACAGAACACUACGGUCUAGAGAGAUGUGUCACAAGCACUUCAUCCAAGAUGCAACAGCUCAUAGACUGCAAAGAAAGGCACAUACUUUGUGAAGCAACUGGCAAUUAAAUAUUUCAACUGGAUAGUCAAUUCAAGCAUUUUAACUUGAAAGACUGCCAAGAUAGAAGAAUCACUGGAACUCUCAAAUAGCGAUUUCACUAACUUUGUGAUUGAUUUAGGGUCCACGGCAUCCUUCUGUAUAUGCUAUUCUAAUUCGUAAUAUCAGUAACUGAACUUGUCAGAUGCAGCCAGAUUAUUCUCAUCAGUUAAAAAAUCCGAAAUCCAGAACAAAAGGAAAGUUGGAGCCUGAAAUGUGAAUCCAUAAACCACACCAGUAACUCUCGUGUGGCAAAAGCGGAACAGUGGAAAUACAUUGUUUUCAUUGAAGUGAAAUGCCAGUCUGUUCUUGCAUGAGCGAACUGGAUUAAGAUAACUUCCCUUGGGGAUUCAGGUUCACAAGGAGACUGUAUCUGACUACAAGACUUCUUUAAGAACGUAGUUUCAAAAUGCUACGGACAUCAGGUUACAACAGUCCUGACUGGAGAAAGUAAACCAGAAUAGAGAUGCAACUGUUACUGCUAUGGAGCUGAUCACCUAGUUGUAAGUCCUUCUCUCUCAACUCACAUGCCUUUAGUGAAAGCUUUCCUGCAGGAAGCAGAUGAACAAGGAGCGCAAGACCCGGAGCCGCGCUUCUGAGUUGAAGUCCUGGCUAUGCUAUUUACUAGCUAUGUGAUCCUGGGCAAUCAUUUAAUUUUUCUGAGGUUGAUUAUCCUGAUCUAGAGAAUGGAGACAUAAAUUCCUAGACUGCAGUGGUUGUUAGGGUUAUACGUAAUUCAGUAUAUGGAAACAUUCUAUAAUUUUUAAAGCACUACACAAACAUUUAUUUUAUUAGAUGGAUCAGCACCCCGGAGCGCCUUUUCA
rnacentral:lncRNA from 1 species